rnacentral:tRNA from 1 species
AGAAGUUUAGGAUAUAUGCAGUCCAAGAGCCUUCAAAGCCCUAAGAAAACAAACAAGUUUAGCUUCUG